GACAGAGGUGGCAAACGUUGCUCGGAAUCACUGGGGCGUAAAGGGCGUGUAGGCGGGAAGGAUAGUCAGAAUGUGAAAUCCCUGGGCUCAACCCAGGAACUGCAUUUGAAACUCCCUUUCUUGAGUGCUGGAGAGGAAGGCGGAAUUCCUGGUGUAGAGGUGAAAUUCGUAGAUAUCAGGAGGAACACCGGUGGCGAAGGCGGCCUUCUGGACAGUAACUGACGCUGAGACGCGAAAGCGUGGGGAGCAAACAGG
rnacentral:rRNA from 1 species